rnacentral:lncRNA from 1 species
CUAUAACAUUUGAUAAGAAGUUAAACCCUACUGAGCUAUAGAUACUUUUGUUUGCAUUACAGCAGUUGUGAUCUGCAGUUUUUUUGUUUGUUUGUUUGUUUUUUAAGACAGGGUCUCUCAAGCCAUCCUCCUGCCUCAGCCUCCCAAGUAGCUGGGAUUAUAGACAUGACCCACCAUGCCCGGCCUGCAAAAUCUUUAAGCAAACUUUUGUUGUAGCAAGCAAAAUAAUAUCCAGAGAAUUAGUUUAUUUUUGAUCCUGUGAUUCAGGAUUAAAAAAAAAAAAAUUUAAGGCCUGAGUGCAUGGCUCACACUUAAAAUCCCAGCAUUUUGGGAGGCUGAGGUGGGAGGAUAGUUUGAGCCCAGGAGUUGGAGUAACAUAGCAAGACCCUCGUAUCUACAAAAAAAAUUUUGUUUUUUAAUUAGCAGAAUGGGGCGUGACAGAGCAUACAGGUGGUCCUAGGUGCUUAGAUAGUUGAGGUGGAAGAAUUGCUUGAGCCUGGAAGAUCAAGGCUGCAGUGAGCUGUGAUCAUGCCAAUGCACUGCAGCCUCAGUGACACAGCGAGACCUUCUCUUAAAAAAAAAAAAAAAUUAGGCCGGGAUAGGGGGUGUGGCUCAUGCCUGUAACCCCAGCACUUUGGGAGGCUGAGGUGGGCGGAUCCCUGAGGUCAGCAGUUCGACACCAGCCUGACCAACAUGGAGAAACCCUGUCUCUACUAAAAUACAAAAUUAGCCGGGUGUGGUGGCACAUGCCUGUAGUCCCAGCUGUUUGGGAGGCUGAGGCAGAAGAAUCACUUGAACCUGGAAAGUCGAGGCUGCAGUGAGCUGUGAUUGUGCCACUGCACUCUUGCCUGGGCGAUGGAGCAAGAUCCUGCCAAAAAAAAAAAAAAAAAGAAACUGAAAAAGCUAACCAGUUAUUACAAUCUUCAUAAAAUUUCUGAAGGGCUCCAAGAGAUGAAAAGUGAAAAUUUAAUUUAUGACUAACUAUAAGUAACAUAUCAUUAAUAUAGACAUAUUGUGUCCAGGUUGUAUAUACAAAACAACGUAUAUUAUGCUUUAUGGGUAAUUUAGGUAAUUUUCAAGGAUGAAUUUUACUAUGUGAGAUUUUUGCCUUGCGCUGACUGUAGUACCUAACUCUCAGAGGAAGAUGAGAUUGCGGAGUUCCAAAAAUAUGUGUUAUCGUACAAUUUAGUAGAAACAGUUUCUUCUUUUUUUUUUUUUUUUAAGAAGGAGAAGCAAAUCUUUGGGCUGCAAAGAGUUACGUGAGUGGGCUUUUUGGUUAUGCAAAGUGGUAGGAGUGGCACACUCCUGAAUGGAUUCUUUUUUUUUUUUUUUUUUUCCAUUCCAGUUGCCCCUUCCUGAGGCUCAGGUAUACAAAGCUGAUCUCCGGGAAGAAGACGGAUUAUUUGUAUAACAAAGCUAGGAUAGCCGGGUGUGGUGGCUCACGCCUGUAAUCCCAGCACUUUGGGAGGCUGGGGGUGGGUGGAUCACCUGAGGUCAGGAGUUCCUGACCAACAUGGUGAAACCUAUCUCUACUAAAAAUGCACAAAUUAACCAGGUGCGUUAGCACACACCUGUAAUCCCAGCUACUCGGGAGGCUGAGGCAGGAGAACUGCUUGAACCUGGCGGGUGGAGGUUUUGGUGAGCCAAGAUUGAGCUAUUGCAUUCCAGCCUGAGCAACAAAAAAAAAAAAAAAAAAAAAAAAAAAAGAGAGAGAGCAGAAGAGAGAGAAAGCAAGCAAGCCAGGAUCUCCUGGGAGGGAGGAGACAGAAGUCCUCUUGGUGAACAUCUCCUCCUUGAUACUAGUAACUAGGGGGCUCUUUUUGGUUGACAGGGUACCUCCUAUUCUCCCAAGGUCUAAUGGUAAGAAAGGAUACCCAAGGACUGGAGAAGAAAAACAAAAACAAAACAACAACCAACUUCCCUGAGGAAGGGGAGUGUGGGUUGGCGACUCAGGCUCUGAAAAAGUUCCCAGCUUUUUCUUGAAACUGCAUGGCUUUGGACAGAAGCAUCGGCAUCAUUUGCGGAGCCUGCGGAGGGCCAUUUCUUCAUAGGAACACCUAUAUGUGGUUUAACGAGGAGCAAUGGCAGUGAAGAACACAAGGUGAGUGUGAGGAGGACUGGCCUCCUUUGGGAAGACUAAUUUAUUUUUAUUUUUAAUUUUUUUUAGGCAGAGUUUCAUUCUGUCACCCAGGCUGGAGUGCAGUGGUGUGAUCUCAGCUCACUGC